UACGAAGGGGGCUAGCGUUGCUCGGAAUUACUGGGCGUAAAGGGCGCGUAGGCGGCACUGUUAGUCAGGCGUGAAAUUCCUGGGCUCAACCUGUGAAUGCCGCUGGAAACUGUCUGGCUAGAGUCCGGAAGGGGCGAGUGGAAUUCCUGGUGUAGCGGUGAAAUGCGCAGAUAUCAGGAGGAACACCAAUAGCGAAGGCAGCUCGCUGGGACGGUACUGACGCUGGAGGCGCGAAAGCGUGGGGAGCAAACAGG
rnacentral:rRNA from 1 species